rnacentral:sRNA from 1 species
GCGGAGGAAAAGAAACCAACAGGGAUUGCCCCAGUAACGGCGAGUGAAGCGGCAACAGCUCAAAUUUGAAAUCUGGUCCCCCCGCGGGGCCCGAGUUGUAAUUUGAAGAGGAUGCUUCUGGCAAGGUGCCGUCCGAGUUCCCUGGAACGGGACGCCGCAGAGGGUGAGAGCCCCGUACGGUCGGACGCCGAGCCUCUGUGAAGCUCCUUCGACGAGUCGAGUAGUUUGGGAAUGCUGCUCAAAAUGGGAGGUAAACCCCUUCUAAAGCUAAAUACCGGCCAGAGACCGAUAGCGCACAAGUAGAGUGAUCGAAAGAUGAAAAGCACUUUGAAAAGAGAGUUAAAAAGCACGUGAAAUUGUUGAAAGGGAAGCGCUUGCGACCAGACUCGCGCCCGUCGGAUCAGCCGUCGCUCGUCGGCGGCGCACUCCGGCGGGCUCGGGCCAGCAUCAGUUCGCCUCGGGGGGAGAAAGGCGGUGGGAAUGUGGCUCUUCGGAGUGUUAUAGCCCGCCGCGUAAUACCCCCGGGCGGACUGAGGACCGCGCGUAUGCAAGGAUGCUGGCGUAAUGGUCGUCAGCGACCCGUC